CGACGACGUCGGCGAGCAGCUCCGCGUUGGAGCCGCGGCCGAACGCGGCGUCGAGGUCGACGAGGUGGAUCCACUCCGCGCCGCCGG
rnacentral:tRNA from 1 species